rnacentral:sRNA from 1 species
UCCAUGGAAGCGAAGGAUAUGUUGUCCUGC